rnacentral:rRNA from 1 species
AACGAACGCUGGCGGCAUGCCUAACACAUGCAAGUCGAACGAACCCUUCGGGGUGAGUGGCGCACGGGUGCGUAACACGUGGGAACCUGCCCUUAGGUUCGGAAUAACAGUUAGAAAUGACUGCUAAUACCGGAUAAUGUCUUCGGACCAAAGAUUUAUCGCCUUUGGAUGGGCCCGCGUAGGAUUAGCUAGUUGGUGAGGUAAAGGCUCACCAAGGCGACGAUCCUUAGCUGGUCUUAGAGGAUGAUCAGCCACACUGGGACUGAGACACGGCCCAGACUCCUACGGGAGGCAGCAGUGGGGAAUAUUGGACAAUGGGCGAAAGCCUGAUCCAGCAAUGCCGCGUGAGUGAUGAAGGCCUUAGGGUUGUAAAGCUCUUUUACCUGGGAUGAUAAUGACAGUACCAGGAGAAUAAGCCCCGGCUAACUCCGUGCCAGCAGCCGCCGCGGUAA